rnacentral:rRNA from 1 species
ACCCGCUGAACUUAAGCAUAUCAAUAAGCGGAGGAAAAGAAACCAACAGGGAUUGCCCUAGUAACGGCGAGUGAAGCGGCAACAGCUCAAAUUUGAAAUCUGGCGUCUUUGGCGUCCGAGUUGUAAUUUGCAGAGGGCGCUUUGGCAUUGGCAGCGGUCCAAGUUCCUUGGAACAGGACGUCACAGAGGGUGAGAAUCCCGUACGUGGUCGCUAGCCUUUACCGUGUAAAGCCCCUUCGACGAGUCGAGUUGUUUGGGAAUGCAGCUCUAAACGGGAGGUAAAUUUCUUCUAAAGCUAAAUACUGGCCAGAGACCGAUAGCGCACAAGUAGAGUGAUCGAAAGAUGAAAAGCACUUUGGAAAGAGAGUUAAAAAGCACGUGAAAUUGUUGAAAGGGAAGCGCUUGCAGCCAGACUUGCCUGUAGUUGCUCAUCCGGGUUUUUACCCGGUGCACUCUUCUAUAGGCAGGCCAGCAUCAGUUUGGGCGGUUGGAUAAAGGUCUCUGUCAUGUACCUCUCUUCGGGGAGAACUUAUAGGGGAGACGACAUGCAACCAGCCCGGACUGAGGUCCGCGCAUCUGCUAGGAUGCUGGCGUAAUGGCUGU